rnacentral:rRNA from 1 species
GAUGAACGCUAGCUACAGGCUUAACACAUGCAAGUCGAGGGGCAGCGGGAUUGAAGCUUGCUUCAAUUGCCGGCGACCGGCGCACGGGUGAGUAACGCGUAUCCAACCUUCCGUACACUCAGGGAUAGCCUUUCGAAAGAAAGAUUAAUACCUGAUGGUAUGAUGAGAUUGCAUGAUAGCAUCAUUAAAGAUUUAUCGGUGUACGAUGGGGAUGCGUUCCAUUAGGUAGUAGGCGGGGUAACGGCCCACCUAGCCAACGAUGGAUAGGGGUUCUGAGAGGAAGGUCCCCCACAUUGGAACUGAGACACGGUCCAAACUCCUACGGGAGGCAGCAGUGAGGAAUAUUGGUCAAUGGACGAGAGUCUGAACCAGCCAAGUAGCGUGAAGGAUGAAGGUCCUACGGAUUGUAAACUGCUUUUAUAAGGGAAUAAAGUGAGUCUCGUGAGACUUUUUGCAUGUACCUUAUGAAUAAGGACCGGCUAAUUCCGUGCCAG